AGGCGGCUCCGCGCGCCUCACAGGAGGCGGAGAGGGGGAGGGGGCGUCCCUCUCCCUGCCCGGGGACGGACCAUCAGGAAACCACGCGUCGGGGGAGCAAAAGACGGACGAAAGUUUUUGAAAAGUUUUUCUUGUGGCUUCUAAAUGCCAAAUGAGGCAGAACUUAGCUUGUCACAUAGGUAUAUUCUUCCUGGAACCGAUGUGGGGUCAGAAAACUGGUGGCUUUUAAGCAAGCUGGACGGGUCCUCUCAGCGCAUCCCCCCACCCGCCUGGCGCCAAUGGAGCUGGCCUGGCCCGCCCUGCCCCUCCCCGCCCCGUCCGCGCUCGGACCUGACUUUCAGGACCGCAGGGGAAAGGGGUGGACACCCAACCUCCCGCCAGCAUCUGGAACGAGACAGCUACUAAGUAGCAUUCCAUUUGACAAGGAAGAUUUACCAUGCACACUACUUCUGAGUUCAAUGAAAGAGAGGCUCGGAGCUUGCUAGACUGUCCACUGUCAAUUUGACUGCCAUUCAGCUCCUAUGAAAGGCAUUUGAGAUAGACUGCAUUUCUCAAUCAUCAGUUGGCAUGCAGUGGUGUGAUCAGGGCUCACUGCAUCCUCGACCUCCUGGGAUCAAUCCAUCCUCCUGCCUCAGCCUC